rnacentral:rRNA from 1 species
GACGAACGCUGGCGGCGUGCUUAACACAUGCAAGUCGAACGAAGAGCGAUGGAAGCUUGCUUCUAUCAAUCUUAGUGGCGAACGGGUGAGUAACGCGUAAUCAACCUGCCCUUCAGAGGGGGACAACAGUUGGAAACGACUGCUAAUACCGCAUACGAUCUAAUCUCGGCAUCGAGGAUAGAUGAAAGGUGGCCUCUACAUGUAAGCUAUCACUGAAGGAGGGGAUUGCGUCUGAUUAGCUAGUUGGAGGGGUAACGGCCCACCAAGGCGAGGAUCAGUAGCCGGACUGAGAGGAUGAACGGCCACAUUGGGACGGAGACACGGCCCAGACUGAUACGGGAGGCAGCAGGGGGGAAUCUUGCGCAAUGGACGAAAGACUGACGGAGCAAGGCCGAGUGAGGGAUGACGGACUUCGGGUUGUAAAGCUCUGUUAAUCGGGACGAAAGGCCUUCUGGCGAAUAGUGAGAAGGAUUGACGGUACCGGAAAAGAAAGCCACGGCUAACUACGUG